UAUAUAUAUAUAUAUAUAUAUAUAUUAGGGGUGUAACGAUACGCGUAUUCGUAUUGAACCGUUCGGUACGACGCUUUCGGUUCGGUACGCGGUACGCAUUAUGUAUACCGAACGGUUCGUUGGAGUAAUUAAUUAUAUUUGAAAAAAAAAAAAAGAGAGAGAGAAAGAAAUAUAAUGAUAUGCGUUCAACAAGGUAGCCCAAUAACCCAAACAACGUAACAGGCAACGCCCCUGACACUCCCGAAGAAGAAAAAAACACCAUCUUAUAUGUUUAUGUUAGGCUACUCAGCAGGCGCUCGCUCACUCAGUACGCGCUGAAGGCUCGUUGCAAAAUAGCCAAUGCGUUUAACAGACUAGAAAUGAGAAGAUCCUCCAAUGACCAACAGGUCUGGUGUUUGGGUGCACUUUGGAUUCCCUUUAAGCUAUAAUGGUGAUGGCAAGAGAGUGGUGGAUAAAAAAAACAACGGUAUGUCGCAUCUGCAACAUGACAGGGUACACCAGCGGGAAUAAAAAAAAAAAAAAAAAAAACACCAGCGGGAAUAUCUGGGAUA